UACGUAGGGUGCGAGCGUUGUCCGGAAUUAUCGGGCGUAAAGAGCUUGUAGGCGGUCUGUCGCGUCUGCUGUGAAAAUCCGGGGCUCAACCCCGGACUUGCAGUGGGUACGGGCAGACUAGAGUGUGGUAGGGGAGACUGGAAUUCCUGGUGUAGCGGUGAAAUGCGCAGAUAUCAGGAGGAACACCGAUGGCGAAGGCAGGUCUCUGGGCCACUACUGACGCUGAGGAGCGAAAGUGUGGGGAGCGAACAGG
rnacentral:rRNA from 1 species